GGGGCUGUAGCUCAGUUGGGAGAGCGCCAGCUUUGCAAGCUGGAUGUCGUCGGUUCGAUCCCGAUCAGCUCCA
rnacentral:tRNA from 1 species